AAACACAAAGCUGGGCAAUUACGUACUAAAGGUGUUCAUGCACGAGGGGGCUUCUGCGCUCCACUCUGACGAUGGUGCGUUAGAGGUGUGUGUGUGUGUGUGUGUGUGUGUGUGUGUGUGUCUCAUGAUGGAUCUGGUUUUGGGUGGUGGUGGUCUGGCUCUGAUGUAAACCAGAUGUGGACUGAUGUAGACUAUCGUAGCCACAGCAUGCGGAAUGAAGUCUGUGUGUGUGUGUGUGUGUGUGUGUGUGUGUGUGUGUGUGUGUGUGUGUGUGUGUGUGCGUGUGCGUGUGUGUGUUGGUGCCAGCAUUGAGCACAAAGCCAGUGAAACUCAUAUUUACUGUAUAUUUAUUUGCAGGCACGUUGACGGAGCUCGCUGGCGUAUUUGAGUUCCUACUUCAUGUGAGUGACUCAUGGAGGGUAACGGUCUCCAUGCUGACCUUUCGAGAUCAUUAUUAAGCUCAUUUAAAAGUUAAGAAACUAUGCAGAUACACGGUGAUACUGGUUCAGUAAGUAAUCACGGGGUUCAUUUUGAAAACCCUCUGAAACACGAAACGUAAUUUCAUUACAGAACCGACUUUCACUGAAUGUUCUCUGCGGUGCUUCUGAAUUAGCGGGAUCUAAUCUGCUGUUAGCGGAGAUUCUGCGCGUUGUGGGUACAAUGGAACGAGUGUGUGAGCACCGAUCCAGCUGCCGGUCCUUCUCAAGUGGCUUCUAUUUUCAGAAGCGUCACAGCAGAUAUAAUAGACUCAUUCACGUGGUCAGAACUCACGGAAGGCCCGAGUGGGUCGGGGUGAUUUGCAGACAAUGGAGACCUGCGUGUGCGUGUCUUAUAUUCUGACCUUGUGACCUCGUCCUGCUCAGCUGCUGUGCGACGUGUGGGGGAUGAAUCCGAGCCGCCGUGUCAAGCCGCGAUGGAGAAAUAUGGACACAAGCACACGACCAUCAGCCUGCAGGUGAGGGGCUGCAGGUGAGGGGCUGCAGGUGAGGGGCUGCAGGCGUGGCCUCGGGUCGCGUGACGAAAGUGACUCGUUUAGACUUAGAACUUAUGUGGUGAUCAUUAAAGAGAAAAUUACAGCAUGCAAAAAUUCAGGUUUAAAUUUACAGACAUAAAAUUGUAUUAAAUUUGGUUGAGAUUGCGUCAUGACUUUUAAGUUAAAGACUCUGGUCUUUGGACUUGACUUCAAACAAUGUCCUCCUUCUCACUUGAGUGCAUAUUUUAAAUAGAUCGGAUAGAAUAAAUCAUCCUGUGUGUGAUCUAUAAAGAUAAUGUUCUAUUGGAAUGAUUUUGAGAAUGAGCUGUGAUCAGUUACGUAUCGCUAACAUUCCAAAUAUGCUACAUUAGCGUUUUCUGGUCAUACGCAAACCCCACCACGGUUAAAUACGCCCUUCAAUCAAUUCAACCCCCCAGCAUAAAUAUUAGUGUUCAUACGUCACUGCUUCAGCUUCAGGAAAGAACCCCAAUGCAUCAUAAAGAACCUGCCAAACAAAUGACCUCAUUUACUACCAGGAAGGAAAAAUGUUCCUCAGCAGCGACUCACUCAACUUUCAUUUACUGCCAAUUAUCACCAGACCUAUUAGCCUAUUAGCUACGUAAAUAUAAAUAUAAAUAUAUGUGUAUGUAUAUGUUUGUAUAUCUGAGCCCUCUCCCCAGUAAAACCUGCAGGAUGUCCACAGGUCGUCUCCCAGCAAACACUCUCUUUUUGCAGCAGUUGUCACAUUGUCACCGUCGAGAUGUCUCAGUUUGCCCCCUUUAUUUAAUGAAGGGGGUGUUAAGGCUCCAUCCAGCGUGCAGUGGACGAUAUCUGCAUUAGCAGAGGUAUUGUGUUUCGUGCUUUAUGAGCGGUCAGUGCAGUGAGAGCGAGUCCUGUAGUUCACAGACGGGUGAGGACAAUGAAACUGACGGAGCGGUGUCCGUUAACACUGAAGUGGUUCAUUCAACUUUGUCCCUUUGGGACCUUUUCCAUCAGUCUCUCGGGGCCAAAGGGGGGGGGGGGGGGGAGGGAACUCAGGACACAGGCCGCGUCUCACUCGGAACCGGGACACCGUGUCCCGAGUCCAAAAACGAUGCAAAGUUGAGCAAAUGUGACGUUUUUUUGGUCGCCGUGUUCAGCGUGAUAUGAGCCGUCGCUCAAGAGGCUUCGGCCUUUACAGGUGGCACGACUUUCAUCUCAGAGUCCGGAGCAGAUAAGGAUAUUUAUCUCAAACUACCUGCAGAUGGAGCACAAAAUACAUUAAUUCAACAUGGGCGAGUGACCCUCUAUUCUACAUGAAGCACAAGGAAAUGAAAAACAGGACGAAACGGAGGAAAACACGACGCGCGAGCCAACGAAAACCACUUCGCUCCACUAAUAAUUCAUGCAGAAAUGAAGCUCUUUCCUACAAAGAACGUUCCAACAAAUGCUGAUUCCUUCAGCGUCGAUUGUUUUAUUUGACACGACCUUUGUGAUUCUAUUUAUAGUUUUAAAUGAUCGCAGACCAACGUUUAGAGAGCUCCGCAGAUGUCUCUGUUUUUGCCCUGUAAGACAUCUGGACGUGUUGACCGGACUGUUCCCAAUACGGGAAGUAACCAACCAUCGCUAAGGCGAAUAUCUCCACAGGUUGAGCACUCGCUGUGGGACAAACUCUGUUUUUCUUUCCCACUGAGCUGAGAAUGAAGAGUAAAGAAGGCAAAGAGGUGCUCGGUCCUCACGCGGGUGUGAAGGACGCGCCGCAAAACAAAGAGGCUGUUUCAAACACCUGCUUCUUCCUUUGAGGUCUUCCUCCUCCGGGUCGCUCUCUAAAUCAACCACAAACAUCUUAAAAGGUCAGAAGAAGUUAUUUAGUUUUUUUUUGGUCAGAAUUGACUAAAUGAUUAUUUUCGAAUCAUCGAAGAAGCUGCGGAUUCUGUAUAUUUCAGACUCAAAGGGGCUCAGACCUGCAUGAAGGUGGUAGAUCUUUGAGGAGCCGACAGAGGAGCAGAGAGAGCGGCUAGCUAACUUCAAGCUCUGUCAUAAUACA
ensembl:lncRNA